UACGUAGGGGGCAAGCGUUGUCCGGAUUCAUUGGGCGUAAAGAGCUCGUAGGCGGCUUGGCAAGUCGGGUGUGAAAACUUCAGGCUCAACCUGGAGCGGCCACUCGAUACUGCCAUGGCUAGAGUCCGGUAGGGGACCACGGAAUUCCUGGUGUAGCGGUGAAAUGCGCAGAUAUCAGGAGGAACACCGGUGGCGAAGGCGGGUCUCUGGGCAACUACUGACGCUGAGGAGCGAAAGCGUGGGGAGCGAACAGG
rnacentral:rRNA from 1 species